UGACAAUUCUGUGUUUUUUUCUCAUCAUCACUUCCUAACUUGCCUUUCACCAUUUCUUCUCUCUCAUUCCUUGAUUCUUUUUGCUGGUGUGGACUGAUCCCUCAAUGUGGAAUGGGCUUUUCUGGCUGAUGUCUGCAUCUUCCCUUGACCAUUAGGCCACAGGAUGAGAGUCCCCAUGUCCCCUCCUUCUUGCUCAGCUACUCUUGCUGAAAGCCCAAAGACUUCAAGCUGGACAUCUGCUCUCUUUCUAGGUAAAACCACAUUGCCCUUCGAAGUACUUCUGGAAGUCCUCCCUUGUGAGGGUCUUCAUGAGGCAUGAUCAAUAGCACAGUGAAUGUUGCUGUGUGCCAUCUGGUGGAAAAGCAGAUGGAGGAAGGAGAGAUGAGGGAAGGAAAGUGGAUGAAAAAAGGAAUUAAGAUGGGUUGAGUACAUGAACCAACUUCACAUGAGGAAUGUAAGCAUUAUGUAUUGCAAACAUGGACUAAUAAAAAAAAGAGCUAGUAAAACUUGAUGGAUUACUUUAAUAAAAAUAGGUGAAGUAAAAAAGUAAUGAUUAUUUUAUAGUAUCAAUGUUAAUAACAUGUUUUCAACUCUCUAAGAAUAAUUAAUCAUCAUUAAUUAUAAUUUGUCAUUCUAAAUAUUAAUAAUGAUAAAAAUUUAUUAUAUUUUAAUGUAUUAUUUAUUGCCAAGAUGUUGUGAUUGAACUCCAAGAAAAGGAAAUAUAAACUAAACUUCUGCCACUCAGAACAACAACAAUAACAACAAUAACAAUAAUAAUGAUGAUGAUACUUUUGGGAAGGC
rnacentral:lncRNA from 1 species